rnacentral:lncRNA from 1 species
GCUGCUGUUCGCCUGUUUGAUAGGUUUCCACAGUGAUCUUUAUGCUGCAUUGGAGACAUAGAUACAGAGGUACUGUGCUGUGUUCUUGUAACAGCGAGGUGCUUGGCUGGUAACAGUAAGGAGGGAAGAAGGCACAGAAGAGCAGGCGUAUGUCUUUGUUGUAGAGCGUCGGUGGUUAGGGACCUCUGGCUGCAGCAGGAGGUCAGUGAAGGAGUCUCAGUUCAUGUUGCUUCUGCUAUAGAGAACACUUUAAGAAAGGAAGCCUUCCCAAGAUCUCUGCCUCCCAUCCAUAAAAUACUCACUCAUCAUUCAGGUAAGUGUAUUGCUUUGCUUCGAUCUAUUCUGAGCAAGUGUAUUGAUUCUCUCUGAAAACCUGAGUCAUUAUAUUAAGACAAGAAGCCUGAGGUUACAGAUAUUUUGCUAUCUGGAAAGAAAAAGUUCCUCAACUUCAAGGUCCUUUCCAGGACCAACAUACUGUGAAGGAUUUGCUUUGGAGGGGUUUCACUGAUACCCCUUCUGUAUAUCUGCCAGUAGUGACGGUUUGUUAAACACUGUAAUAUCUAUCGGUAAUCUGCCGGGUAUUCCGAAGGCCCUUUUUAUGUGUGUGAUUUGAAUACACUUCACAGAUGGACAUCCUAAACCUGAAGAAGUGCAGUGUGAAGUCUGUGGUUGGGGAAUGAGAAGCUGGGGUAGCGUCAGCAGCACGGAAGCAGUUUCUUUGCAGAUGGCCCCCGAGAGUGUAGACCCUGAACCCUGGCCCGAGGAUUAAGACUGAUAGGACUGUACAGGGCAGUAGACCUGGAAAUAUGUGGGGUGUUUCUGCCCACGUCUGGCCAGGCUGAAGGUCACAUCUGGUUUCC